rnacentral:lncRNA from 1 species
AGUGAAAAUUUUACAUUACCUAAAUUUGCACCUCUUGUACAAGACACCGCUCCAUCAUGACACUGUUCCAUCAAUACUUGUCUCCUUAAAAUCUAAUGCUACUCUUACAAAAGGUUCAUUGUUGCUUAAUUGUGGGCACACUUAGAUUUCUUACCUAAACUAACAUAAUCCUCAACAAGAGAAAUCACAACGACUAACGUCAUUAAUUUGUUUUCUCUAUUAGAAUUUGUUGGUCGUUAAAUAUUGACCCUAAGCAUGCUGAGUUCCUAAAAGUUUUCUAAGAUCAGUGGGAGCAGUCAAAGUCCUUAUCAUGACUUGCAAGGAAUACAAGAGGCGGGGGGAAGAGUGUCAUUAAAUUUCACUCUGAAUUUAACUCCGAUUACACCUCUUGUACACCAUACUGCACCAACUCUUACAAACUUAGAAUGAAAAUGAUAGCAACCUAACCAAGAGCUAAUCCAUAAAGCUGAAACUUUUAAAACCCAAUAAUCAACUCAGAAGGUCAUCUAGGUUUAAAAGCCUACUAACUUUGAUGAUUACAUAACCUCCCUAAUGAAGUUGAAAUGGAUUUUUGGAAAUGUUUAAUGAUCCUAUCUCUUAAAAUCAAGCCAUUAGUGUAAAUUAAUCAUCUGAAUGGAAUAAAACAGUUUUCUAGUAAAACUGAUUUUAUGUGUUCGUGUAACGUUUGGGAUUUGAUUGAAUUACCUAAGAGUGUUCAUAACUAAACCAAAUUCUGAUAUAAGCGUUAAGACACUAAGAAGCAUGAUUGAUUGUCAAAGGUUAUACUUAGGAAGAGAUAAAUUAUCAAAGUUUUCUUUGAGGAUCAUCAUUGUUCUAGUAGCCUAUAAUAGUUUAAAGCUACAUUAAAUGAACAUUAAAAACAGUUUUCCUUAACAAAUGGCUGACAUAUUUACAUGAUCAUAAAACAACCUGAAAGUUCCAAACUGAAGGUUAAAGAACAUUUUAUUUCUAAGCCAAUAAAAUCCAUGUAUGGGUUAAUGCAAACAUCAUAAUGUGAUGAAAUCUUAACGUAAUUAUUUUCAUCAACAAUCAAGUGGAUUAAUGUACCUACCUCGAGAUGAGUGGGAGCAACUAAAUUAAACUUGUCUAUAUAGAUGAUAUUCUUUUGACAAGUAUAUGUUACAUAAGUCAAAGCAUUGUUAACACAAACUUUGAUAUAAUAGAUCUCAGAGAUAUCUCUUACGUAAUAGAUAUCAUAACAUACCGAGAUAGACCCAAUGGGACAUUAGUUUCGUUCCAUCAGUUUAACCUUAAAUGGGUCCUUACAUAUGUAACAAACAAUAUUGCUCUCCUUCAGAGGAUAAUAUGGUAAAUGAGAUUAUUUAUCUAUGCUUCAUUAAUUAGAAGCCUUAUGUAAGUUUAAGUCUAUACUCGUUUAGAUAUUACUCACAUUGCAACACACUAGAUAUGUCUAGAUUAAUGUGUAGCAUCUAAUGGAGUAUUACAAUAUCUUUAAAAGAAACGAGAGACUACAAUUUAAAGAAGAAGUGAGAAUUAAAACCGGUUUAUUACUGUAACUUUGUGAUAUUCAAAGAUUACAAAAUGUAAUUUCGGGUAUAUCUUUAUGUCAGCAGACAAAACCUAUCUCAUGGAAGAGUCAUAAUGGACUAAUAUCAACAACCUAAGUUAUAACGAUAUAAUAUAAUCACUAAAUGUUGUUGGAAAUUUAUCAGUGGACUCAUAAGUUUAUUAACUCCAUAUAAUUAAUGUUUUGAAGAAUUAGUGUGAUAAGGUCAGCUACCAUGACUCCUUGAACAGUAACAGUUCAAGAGGUGCUGCAUUAAAUUUUCGAUACGCAAUUAAUUAUUCGUUUAUGAACGAAUUGAGGAAACUAAGUUUUGUAUCGAAUACAUUCAUGAUAUGCUUAAGGAUCCUAUAACUGAAGGGCUAUUACCCAUAAGUCUUAUUGGAGUUUUGUAAAACAGUUGAUAAAAAGAGAAUGACUCACAUUGCAGAUUUUAGGAGCAAAGUUUAAGCCUACUGUAUAGCCCUGAUUAACCUAAUUUAAAUAACAAUGCACACACAAACGGGUUAGUAACUAAUUCAGCAGUUACGUCAUUUCACGAGAUUAAACCCUCACAACGAUUAAUAAGUGAAAUACUUAAUCAAUUCAAUGGAUUCACAACGAAUGACAGAGCAUAGUCCGAAUUCGAACAGCACUCAAACAUUCAAGUCGAAAUCACAAUGAAUAACAAAGUAUAAGCUCAAUUUGAGCAGCACUCAAAUAAUCGUUGGAUAGUUAUAAUCGAUCGAACGUUGAAUCGUAAUAGCGAUCGAGUUAUUUCCCUGAUUGCGGCAGCACCUCGUGAUUCGUGUGUCUUUAAUUGUAGUGUAACAGCUCUAACUCGACGUAGAGACAGAGUUGAGACGUCGUUUUCAUUUCAUUGUUCAAGUCCCAAUGCCUGCUAUUUAUAGUGAUUUUUGAGACUCGCUUACGGACCGUAAGCCAUUUCCUUUGUGGUCCGUAAGCGAAGCAGUCUAAUUAUAGGCUGCCUAGGCUCGGGACUAGCUUGCAUGAUUCAACAAAUUUGGCCAAUCAGAACAUAGCAACGUAUUAUUUAGAUAAAUAUUCAACUAGGGUUUGCCCCCCUUGAGUUUUAGGGGCCCUGAUCCUGAUUCUGAUUGUUCUGAAAAUUUUAGGGUUAGUGCAGAAUUACUUGGGUGUCUCAAUUAUGUUGUUACAAUAUAUAAGGAGAAUAAUGUGGAGGUUAAAGGGUUAGACAAUUACACGGACCCUAAUAACACAUAACAUCAAUCUCGCCACCCUCUCCUAACCGAUUCCUUUGUCGGUUUCUCUUCAUCACCAUCAUUAGAUUGCAUCCUAAGGAGGAACCAGAUCAAGAUGACAAUCAUGUCGAACCUUAUUGCUGUGUCUCCAUCUGGAUUCUCUGUUGGCCUGUACUGCUGCAAUCAGGUAUGUUUUCAUGUUUUCCAUUAUGUCUAAACAGAACUGACCAACACCGCUAACUAUAGUUUCAUGUAACAACAAAACACAUUGAGUGGGUUGACCCUUUAAAAAACGAUGUUUAAAUUUUGUUUUAAAUUGUUAGCAUGUAUUAAAAUGAUAGAAGAUGAUUUUUGGUAUGAUACAUUUACAAAACUUAAUGGUUU